rnacentral:rRNA from 1 species
UACAGAGGUCUCAAGCGUUGUUCGGAUUCAUUGGGCGUAAAGGGCGCGUAGGCGGCGCGCUAAGUCAGGUGUGAAAUUUCGGAGCUUAACUCCGAAACUGCAUUUGAUACUGGCGUGCUUGAGGACUGGAGAGGAGACUGGAAUUCAUGGUGUAGCAGUGAAAUGCGUAGAGAUCAUGAGGAAGACCAGUGGCGAAGGCGGGUCUCUGGACAGUUCCUGACGCUGAGGCACGAAGGCCAGGGGAGCAAACGGG